UGUUCUACUAGACUCAGCGAAAGAAAGUCUAGCUUAAUUUCAUUCCUUCUCAGCACAAUUUCUGCUUUGGUCUUAGCAGUGCUGUGAGCUGAGUGAUGCUUUCUCUUAUGUUGUAUUUUUUCAUGUGCUAAAGUUCUAAUUCCUUGCACCUCAAAAUGUGACAGUGAAAUGAAACAAAGGUCUUGAGGAUGGGCUCUAGCCCAGUAUGACUGGCAUCAUUAUAAAAAGAGGGGAUUUGGAGAGAGACACAGAGUCGGACCAUGUGAGGGCAUAGAGAAUGCACAUGGACAAGCCAAGGAGAGAGACCUCAGGGGAGACCAACCUGCUGACACCUUGAUUUUGGAUUUCCAGGCUCCAAAAUUUCUUGGCUGACUGCAAUGAGAAAAUCGAUUCUACUGCAACUGGAACAGACUACAACUGCUUUCAUGUAGCUAGAGAGUGGCAUGAUUCACAGUAGGCUCAAGAAGAAGUGGCCUUUGUGAUUCCAGCCAGAUGACAACUGGAGUUUGAUGACGAAUUAUAUUGGAGUGUUGGUUGCUUCUUCAUAUCUCUGAUUCAGUUGUCAUGAGGUGAACAAUUUCCUUCACCAAGUGCUUUAUGCCAUGAUGCCACGACUCUGCCACCAGACUAAGUGACCAUGGAUUGAAACUCUUGAGACAAGCCAGGUAUUUCCCAACUGUUAAAUGAGGAAACACCUAUCAAGGUAUAACUCCAUGGCUGGCCUACAGUGACUACUGUGAUGCUAUUCAUGAUAACCUGGCUUUUGGACUCAUCUGGCAAUGCUGACUCCAGCUUCUGGUAGGAGGAAGUUCAAACCUGAACUGAAGUUGUGUUCCCUGCCCACCCAGGCCAGGUGGGUCCUCCCCUGGACAUCUGAGGAACUGGGUCAACUCCUGGAAAAGAUGUGGGAAGAGAACCAAACCCUUGGGUUUGACUCAGGAGCAGUGCUUUACAAGGUGAUGACUCUGCAUGGUGACCUUUGCCAGGUCCUUGAAGAAGAGGAGUGUUUCCUGGGGCUCCAUGGUGCUCCUUGGCUUCUCCUUAGUCUUUGCUGCUCUAUGCAGAGAUGACCCCUUCUCUUUCACCUGCUGGAAUCUGUGGCCAAACACUGGGCACCUUCUUCCUGCUCCUGAGGGCUCUUGGGCCUCUCCACUGAGCUGAGUGUUGGUACCCCUCGAAGUCUCCCUGUAUCCUGAUCGGUCCUCAGUCAGGGAUCUCUACCCUCCGCUCCACAGUGUCUUCAGGGCUGUCACAACAGCUGCCAUGGGCUUGCCUGAUGGCUGCACUCUGCAUGGAUACGUGGUAGUCUUGACCUUGUAGGCAGCUUUCAAAUCACACUGCAGCCAAGGGAGCUCCUAAGGGCAGAAUUUCCUUGUGUUUAACCCAUUGCAACCUUUGUGGGGUUUUCUCUCCAGUGUUGUUUUAGGAAGUGGGGGAAAGCCCUUACACCACACUCACCUCCUGUCACCAGGCCUCUAGCGCGUUUCUCUCUUUGGGAAUUUUGUUGGGUGGGAAGUGGUCAUCACACACCACCUGAUCUUCCUAUCACACAGCUUUCUGCUUGGCACCCUCCCUUGGUUAGAAGGGUCUGGCUUUCUCUUUCCUUGAUAUCAUGAGUUUGGGUUUGCUUUAGUAAAGCUUCUACUAAACUCAUGCAAGCAGAUCCAACUUGUGGUCUAUGAAUUGGACAUGUUGUGUUACAAUAGCAAGUUAAAAAGGAAGCUUUGUUACUUAUAUACAUUACUUAUAUGCAUUAACUGCAAGGUCUGAUAAAAAUAUAGUGAAUGUUUAAGUAAAAAUUUUAUUAUUGCAGAAGACACACAGACAUGAAUUCCCCCUUCAAACACACUUACCUCAUCAUUCGUUCUGCCUUCAGAAGCAAUUCUGAGCAUCUGUUUUUAGUGCCUGCCUAGAUGGACUGAAUGUCAAGACAUUUAUGGCAAUUUUCAUCACAUGAAACUAUUACAGUGUGUUCUUAUCCAUCUUACUCAUUGGCUCUGGCAUUGUAUGACCUCCGGCUCUUUCCCCAGAGUCAAAAUGAUCAUGAAGAGUAAGCAUUUUGAAUCAGUUCACAACCUUGAGCAAGACACGACAGCACAAUUAAAAAAGCAAAAUAAAAGGACUUCUAGAGCGAGACCUCUGUCAGGACAUAUUGAGAAGGUGCUGUUUGCAAAUCAGAACACAGACCCUCAUCAGACCUGGACUCAGCUGCUGCUUUGGUUUUGGACUGAAUCACCCUCCAGAAACUAAAAGAAAUAAGUUUCAGUGGCUUACUAAACCACCCAGCAGCUGAUAUUUUGCUAUAGUCGUCUGAACAGACCAAGACACUUAGCACAUGUUGAGCAUGAUCUUCAAUUGGUGUCUUAGAGAUGGUUGAGCUCAGAUCCCUGGGUUUUUCUAGAUUCAUUCUCCAGACACAAGUCUAAUCUGUUUUCCCACCUCACAUCCUUCUACUGGACGCUCAACUUCCUCAGCAAACCGUUAACCUCUGAGUCCCAGCUUCUCCAUUUCCUAAACCCCAGAUAAACUUACCCCCUCCCCCUGAGAUUUCAGCCAGAGAAACCUUUUAAUAUUUUCACCCCACACUCAGAGAAGUUUUCUCUAGGUGUAUGUCUUUCCUGCUGUCUCUCCAUCAACUGUUUAACCCCUGCUCUGUAUUAAAUUUCCUCUUUGAUGUACUAGAUCCGUUUCAGGUUUCCUGCCUGGUUGUGACUGGCUGCUCUCCAAGGGAGAGAAAGCCCUCUUUAUAAUCUGCUUAGGGAUGAGCACGCUGAAGCUUGUGAAGGCCAAGUUAGAAGCCCCGAUCUGACAGCCAGGGAGCCAGGGAAGACAGACUGUGCCAGCGAGGGGAGGCCUUACAGGCCACCAGUUAAGAUUAUCCUGCUGGAGGUGGAGACUGGUGAAGACGGUACUCAGAAUUGACAGGAGCAGAGCUACAUUUGGGAAGCUCUUGAUGGAAUUGCCUCUGUCCAGACUGCCUCUGUCCAAGCAGAUCCAACAUAAAAAGAUGCCCCAAAAUGUCUCUGUAAUCCCAGCUACCUGGGAAGCCAAGAGAAGAUAAUCAGGAGUUCAAGGCCAGCUGGGACAACGUGGUGAGACUGUCUCAAAAACAAAACAACAACAAAAACCAAACCAAAAUAAAACAAAAAACAAGACACCAAAAAAUCUUGAUUAUAGGGGCUGGGGAUUUAGCUCAGUGGCAUAAGCACCUGCCUUGUAAGCAGGCGGUCGUGAGUUCGAUCCUCAGUACCGAUAAAAAAAAAUCUUGAUUAUAUCUUGAUUGCUAUCUUUUUUCUUCUUUGAGUUGUGGGCUCUUUUUGUGCAGAGUUAGCUAAGAAUCACGUCACUAAUGAAAAGUCUUCUGUACAUCUGCUGGAUAUAUUGCCACAUGCCUAGUUAAUCCCUUUAAAUAUGCUGUUUUUGUUCCCCUGUAUGUCUGUGAUCAUCUGUAAAUAGUUUUCCUCAGGGUCCUUUGGGCCAAAAGGGCUACCAAAUAAAUCUAUGGGACAUAGAUUACUCACGAGAAUAGAAGAUUUACUCUACAUAUUUACACAAACAAAUGAGGUAAAAUGAUGUUUUAAUGUUCACUUAAUUAUGUCUUGUAGACAUGCCCAAGAUACUACAUUCAUUUCUAAAAAUAUGGGCUUUGUGUGUGUUAAUGUGCUUUUGCCACAGAAGCAUUGUUUUUUGAUGUAUUGAGGUCCAGCCAGUUUGUAAUGCCCAUUGAUCUUAUUAAGUAUGUCAGUAAAAUCAACUCUACAUAUUUGUGGGUUCAGUAUCCAUAGAUUCAACCAUGAUGGAUAGAAAAUGUUUCAAAAAUAUUGCAUCAAAAUAAAUAUGUACAGAUUUCUUUUUUUUGUCAUUAACCCCUGAACAAAACAAUUUACGUAUCAUUAGGGGUAAGUAAUUCAGAGAUAACUAAAGAAUACAGGAUGAUAUACGUAGGUUAUACCCAAGUGCUGUGCCAUUUUAUAUAACGGAUUUAGGCAUCUAUGGCUUUUGGUGGUGGAACCAACUGAUCCCUUCUGGGCCCCUAAGGACAACUGUAUUUACUAUCCUUUAGUUUUUUUGUUUGAAUAAAAGCUGUGUUCACACAA